UGCUGCGUGGUGAAUCAGCCGUGCAAUAAUCACGCCAGUAACGUGGGGCUUCUAUUCCGACGAGGUUUUUUCGUCUUCAUGGUAACGCAGCGACGGACGGUGCAUCUGCGGGAGGUCGCCACCCGCGCGCGCACACGGUCUGCGUACACAGACGCAGUCAUGUAGUUGCCGCAGCGCCACCUUGUGGACGACCCGCGACCCGUCCGUCGGCAGCAGGAAUCCAUUCACAGGUUGGACUCAGGAACUGUAUGUUAGAGUAGUAUGUCCGGUAGAUGGCGCUAGUGGCGGCGGUGUUCGUUGUGCGGCCAUGUUUAUAAAGUUUACGUUUUGUGUUUGUGCGUGUCAUUGUAUAGUUUAUAGCUUUUUCACGAGUUAUACAUAUAUAUAUAUCUAUAAUCUAUAUAUAUCUGUCUCUCUCUCUAUAUAUAUAUAUAUCCAUAUAUAGACGCGAUGCUUUCAAAGCAGACGAACAAGUUUGAAUACGGGUAUUUAGUGUAGGCCUAGGCCGCAGGCAAGCCGACUCAACUGGCGGUUCUUCGAUGCACCGGACAGCAGCUAGAGGGCGCCACUACCACCCACCCAUAUUGCACUGUACCCUGGGACUAUCUAAUAUGCCGAACCGUACCUCGCCUACUCCACUAACGAGUCUAGGGAGUCGCCUACGCCUACUCCCUAACCCUAACCCUAACCAUAACCCUAACCCUAACCAUAUCAAAUAGUUACCAGAGUAUGUUCCGGUAUUAUAUACCGGAAACCCUAACCCUGGGGGACAUAGACCCUAUGAGCUCUACUAGCGUAUAACUAUCAAUAACUAUCC